rnacentral:snRNA from 1 species
GGAUGUGUGAUCUGGCUGAGACAUCUGUCACCCCACGGAUCGCCAGGGUUGAUUCGGCUGAUCUGGCUGGCUAGGCGGGUGUCCCCUUCCUCUCUCACCGCUCCAUAUGCGUCCCUCCCGAAGCUGCGCGCUCAGUCGAAGAGGACGGCCUUCCCCUAAUAGACAGACUGGUCUUCGGUUGAGGGUAUACGAGUAGCUGUGCUCUCCUGCUAGAACCUCCAAACAAAAACCCCCUUAACUCACAGAACAUGACAAUGAUGUGAGAUACUGGGAUGAAAUUUAAGAUGAAGGAAAUGUAGGGUAAACAGGGAGAGACACAGGAGCAGGAUAGCUUUUU